CAAACAUGAAAAUAACACAGUUUACUGUAAUAUUCCUUUGCCUAAUGUUCUGUGCUUUGACAAUCAUUGCAAGCACUACCUGUGACGGAAAAAGCGGAGUUACAUGCUGCUUUGGAUACAAAUGGAGCAAAGAGUACCAGGCUUGCAUCAAGUGUAGUCCUGGAUACUUUGGGAACAAUUGCUCCCAGAUUUGUCCCUAUCCAACGUACGGGGAUAAGUGUAAAAACGUCUGUAAUUGUGACCCAGA